rnacentral:snRNA from 1 species
GUAAGAAUGUCUUUGCUAUCUGUCACCCUGUUAACCAGCAGGAUUCAUUUGGCUGGUCUGGCUGGCUAGGCAGCUGUCCAUCACCCACUGCAUGGGUGUCCCUAAUAUAGCAGGACUGUUCUUCCGCCAACGUUAUUUGAAUAGCUGCUCUUUCCUGCUAGAACCUCAAACAAGCCCUUACAAAGAGGUAAAUAGAGAAGCAAAUAUAAUAUGAAGAGACAGACAGUAAGUACAGGCCUAUGAAUGUGGCUUUCUUCU